AUACGUAGGGGGCGAGCGUUGUCCGGAAUGAUUGGGCGUAAAGGGCGCGUAGGCGGCCCGGUAAGUCUGGAGUGAAAGUCCUGUUUUUAAGAUGGGAAUUGCUUUGGAUACUGUCGGGCUUGAGUGCAGGAGAGGUAAGUGGAAUUCCCAGUGUAGCGGUGAAAUGCGUAGAGAUUGGGAGGAACACCAGUGGCGAAGGCGAAUUACUGGACUGUAACUGAAGCUGAGGCGCGAAAGUGUGGGGAGCAAACAGUAUUAGAUAACCUGGUAGUCCACACUGUAAACGAUGAAUGCUAGGUGUAGGGGGUAUCGACCCCUUCUGUGCCGCAGUCAACACAAUAAGCAUUCCGCCUGGGGAGUACGGCCGCAAGGUUGAAACUCAAAUGAAUUGACGGGG
rnacentral:rRNA from 1 species